rnacentral:rRNA from 1 species
UACGUAGGGCGCAAGCGUUGUCCGGAAUUAUUGGGCGUAAAGAGCUCGUAGGCGGUUUGUCACGUCGGAUGUGAAAGCCCGGGGCUUAACUCCGGGUCUGCAUUCGAUACGGGCAGACUAGAGUGUGGUAGGGGAGAUCGGAAUUCCUGGUGUAGCGGUGAAAUGCGCAGAUAUCAGGAGGAACACCGGUGGCGAAGGCGGCAUCCUGGACCGAGAUUGACGCUGAUGAGCGAAAGCUAGGGGAGCAAACGGG